GUUUGUUUUGCCAGAGCCGUGUGGCCGUUUCUCAAAAACUUGUGUCCGUUGGUUCAUCGUUUCUAACGCAACGUGAAAGUGAAUCUCUGCGGCUCCUUGUCGCACACGUGCGUGCUUUGCGAUUUGGAUGGCUCUCGAGCUUUUGCCAAAGAAGUCCCGAAACCGACCUGUCUCUGAGUGAGCAGUCGGAUUGCAGGAAUGCUCCCAGAGGCAAGCGUCCCACUGAAGGCGCGGGAAGGGGGAGACGGGCUUGCUCAAGAUUCAAUAUUCUGCAAUGGGGCGACGAAGGCGGUUUUCGGUCCUGUAAACCUGCAGCGCCGAAGCGUGGUGGGGCAGCCCUGCAGGCGGCUGAAGCGAGCAGCUCAGCAGAGGGCACUGACUCUUGACAAGCUGGCAGCCGUGGGCAUUAAGUUGUUUCUCUUUGCUCCCAACACGCUAGACUCUACCAUUUAUUUGCAGUCAUCAAUAUGACUU
rnacentral:lncRNA from 1 species